rnacentral:rRNA from 1 species
GACGAACGCUGGCGGCGUGCUUGAUACAUGCAAGUCUUAGGGGUGACCUCCCUUCGGGGAGGAAGCCACUGGCGCACGGGUGAGUAACACGUAAGUCAUCUGCCCUUGAGUCGGGCAUAACACCGGGAAACCGGUGCUAAUUCCCGAUGAUAUCGAAAGAUCAAAGCCUUCGGGCGCUCAAGGAUGAGCUUGCGUCUGAUUAGCUAGUUGGCGGGGUAAUAGCCCACCAAGGCGACGAUCAGUAGCCGGUCUGAGAGGAUGAUCGGCCACAUUGGGACUGAGACACGGCCCAGACUCCUACGGGAGGCAGCAGUAAGGAAUAUUGCGCAAUGGAGGCAACUCUGACGCAGCAACGCCGCGUGCAGGAAGAAGGCCCUUUGGGUCGUAAACUGCUGUAGCAGGGGAAUAAUGGCUCACCACGGGUGGGCAUGAAGGUACCCUGAAAGUAAGCUCCGGCUAACUACGUGCCAGCAGCCGCGGUAAGUACGUA